rnacentral:rRNA from 1 species
GACGAACGCUGGCGGCGUGCUUAACACAUGCAAGUCGAACGAAGUGGCGAACGGGUGAGUAACGCGUAAUCAACCUGCCCUUCAGAGGGGGACAACAGUUGGAAACGACUGCUAAUACCGCAUGCUGAAGGAGGGGAUUGCGUCUGAUUGGCUAGUUGGGGGGGUAACGGCCCACCAAGGGGAGGAUCAGUAGCCGGUCUGAGAGGAGUAACGGCACAAGUGGGACUGAGACACGGCUCAGACUCCUACGGUAGGCAGCAGUGGGGAAUCUUCCGCAAUGGACGAAAGUCUGACGGAGCAACGCCGCGUGAGUGAUGACGGCCUUCGGGUUGUAAAGCUCUGUUAAUCGGGACGCGGUACCGGAAUAGAAAGCCACGGCUAACUACGUGCCAGCAGCCGCGGUAAUUC